GUUACAAGAUAACAAGGAGAAAGUGAAAGUGAAAGAAUCCUUACCCUCUAAGAUUUCUACUUUUGAUGAUGCCGGUAAAGCCAGUAUUGAAAGCGGGGACUUAACUUCAAGUUCGUCGUCCUCGUCCUUUGAGAAAUUUGUCAUCAACGUUGAACAAUCAGUCAAUAUCUCUCUCACGAAUUCUGUGAUAAAGAUACUUGAUACUUUGUACCAUGAUCGGGAUUAUGCAAGGUUUUUUGUUCUUGAAACAAUUGCCAGGGUUCCUUAUUUUGCUUGUUCUUCAACAAACCUGAUUUGCUGUGAUCUUAACAAUACAACUCCAUUUCCUGCACUACAUAUUAACUUGUAGGUGAGUUGAUUCCACAAGUUUUACCCAAAAAUCCACAUAACAUGAGUUGAUUCCACAAGUUUUACCCAAGUUGCAUUUUAGGACUACUUGGAUUUCAAAAUGAGGAAUAUAAUGGGAGCUUGCCUAAUUUGGUCUAUAGGCCAUACUCAUGGACAAAGACAAGUAGCAUUAUGAACAUGUUGAUACAAGCUUCACAUAUGCCAGAUCAGAAUCUGUCACGGCGUAAAGCGACUCAUUGCUAGUUAACCAAACUGAUUAAUUUCUUAGGAAGAUAUAUCUCUACAACUUUAUGGUGUUUUUACUGCAUACUCACAAAUGG